rnacentral:lncRNA from 1 species
GUUCCAUCUUAGUGAAAGAGGAUGGGAAGCAGCAAUUGUUAGUUUAUUAUGCGAGUAAAACUCUACAAGGAGCAGAAAUGAGAUAUUUGGAUAUGGAAAAGUCGGCCCUUGCCUUAGUAGCAGCAUUAUGAAAGCUGUGAUCAUACUUCCAGAGCCACAAUAUCAAAGUACUGACUAGUCCCAUUUAAGUAAGUACAACAAACCUGAUGUGUCAGGAAUCCUAAUGAAACAGGCAAUAGAAUUGGGGUAAUUCGAGAUGCUAAUGAAGACGAUCUGCAAAUUUGCAAUAAAAGAUAAGAAACGUUAAACGUGGCCAGGCAUUAAUUAUUAUUAAGAGCGUGAAAAUCACAACCGAAAAAUUACAAGGCUUCAAGUUCGCAGCCGAAAUAUAAAUAACUAUGCUUGGACUUAGGGAAUUAUUUGUUGAAUCAAGAAAAUGAGCCAGUGAACUCACGCCCCCUAUAGGUGAAUGUCAAGUGCACAACUAAUGAAAAAUAGAAGAGUUCGCAGGCAAAGGGGUGAACCAUCCCCCUUAAAUUACAAAUCGGCAAAAGUCUAAAACACGUGGGUGAAAAUGAAAAGCAUGACUUCUAAACCAAUAAAUAAUAGAAUCGAUUAUCUAUUCAUCACUAACCUUUUAUUUUCCAUAAUGACUCAAUUGCCCCAAAGCCUCCAAGCUAAUCCAUAAAUACUCCUGCAUAAGAGGAGAAAUUGAUGCAAACUAAAUAUCUCCAUUCUAAUUCGCCAUUUCCCCUCUUGCUCCUGUUUAAGCUUCCAAAUCAGAGAGUAUAGAAGCAAAAUAUCCUAGUUAGGUGAGAGAAAUUUGUUGAUUAUAAUUUAGUGGUCAAUGAUGAUUAUUCUAGCUAUGUACCAUCCAUCCCGUGCCCUGCAUUGAUUAUCCUCUUUUCCUUUAUCUACAUUUUUAUGACUGGCCUAAUACUGAGUAGACAUGAUUGAGCUGAGGGUCUUUCCUAUUCUACUGGUAUGCCUGACUAUGCUCCAUAACUGGGUUCUCGGAGUAAGAAUGUAGUAGGCUUUUCAGCCAUGACUGCAACCAUGGCAUGAUAUUUAUUACAAUAAGUUGAAAUGCAUUUGAUAACAUUCUUUUCUGAUUGAGUAUGGCUUCUACUAUUCCUGGAGCUCAUCAAUUAGUCAACCAUAGACAUUUUAAUUAAGAAUCUGAAAGAGAUUAUCCUGAGCAAUUGCAAUAAUCGGUCAUUGUCCUGGAAUGUUUUGACAAUUAAUUUUAUGAGUAUAUCUUCUUUUACAAAAUAUAACCAGAAGGAGUGACAACGCAGGAUCAGAGGAACAUUCUUUAGAGUCGUUGUAGAAUCUGAUGAACAGGUAGAACUCUCGUUCUUGAGAACAUGGGAUACCUCGGUCGAGGGCAAGCUUGCUCCAUUAAAUAUAGAUAAAAGGUUAUGAAAACGUUUUAAAUCCAUAAAUGUAUUGAAAUGCUGCUUACAUGUUCAAAUCAUGUUGACAGUGAGCGAAACGAUUGCCAGGUUCGUUAUGCUUCGUGGUUGCUCCGGCUUCUAUUCGUAUGCCAUUUUUGAGCAUUUGGAGGGAUGGCCCGAUUUUAAUCUUGAUGAAAUAAGAAUUGCGUUUAAGCUUCGGAAAGACAAGUAUAACAUCUAAUUUCGCCCAUCUUAUCAAUCAGUGAUUCUAACUGCCCUCUUAGAAGAAAAUUUGAUUUUCUCAAGUAAAACUGAAAUCUUCAUUCAUUAAUAAUUUUACACAAUUUUACUAACUUGAAUGAACAUAUAGGUUUCGCUAUAUGGCCAUGGCAGAUAACAGGCAAAGGUUUGUGCCCUUACCAGAUGAUCGUUUACCGGGACGAGGCCAACAACUGGCUCAUCCAGAAGCAGUCCUUCUUGUGAAUCCUGUGGAGCCAGAAUUUAAAGGAGAGGUACAAUACUUUUUCAAGUUUAUUGAUUUUAUCUGUUGGAGGCUUCAACCAUCGCGAAUCAUUGGAAAAGCAAUUGUUGUUCAAUGAGGGAACGCUAAUCCUUUUAGGACAUUUGAACACCAUCACUUUUGAGUGACCCAAUCCCCGGGCUUCAGAGGGACAUUGUUUCUCCCCAGCAAUCACACCCUCAACAUGACGCUCUCGUUGCACAGACCCCAUGAACACGGCAAUAAUACAACUUCUUGGUUUGGGAGUUAAAUCUCAUCUGAAAAUCGAAUAUUGUCCAGUCAGGGAAGGAUAAACCUUUUAAUGCAUUCGACCGCCAUUAUUUGAGUGACCUAUUCAUGCACUUAAGAAUGGCAUUGUUGCUCCCCAACAGUGUCAUAUUCUUAAAUGUGUAUAUUCACCUUUUAUUUUGCUCUUUAAUUAACUCAGGUGGAUGAUAAGUAUCAGUACUCGUGCGAUAACCAAGAUCUUAAACUUCACGGCUGGAUAUGUAUGGAUCCACCUGUUGGGUUUUGGCAGAUCAGUCCUAGCAGUGAGUUCCGAUCAGGAGGACCUCUCAAACAAGAUCUUACUUCACAUGUUGGCCCAACUACUCUCGCUGUAAGUAUGUACUAACAAGUAUUUGAUUAGUUAUAAAAGCUGCAUAACUCGAUCAAUACGUUAUACUGUAUGGUAUUUUCAGAUGUUUAUUAGUGCUCACUAUGCCGGGAUCGAUCUGGUGCCUAAAUUUGGGGAAGGUGAGCCAUGGAAGAAAGUCUUUGGUCCAGUUUUCA